UACAGAGGGUGCGAACGUUGCUCGGAUUUACUGGGCGUAAAGCGCGUGUAGGCGGAUACGCAAGUCGGUUGUGAAAUCCCUGGGCUCAACCUAGGAACUGCAUCCGAAACUGCGUGUCUUGAGUAAUGGAGAGGGUGGCGGAAUUCCCGGUGUAGAGGUGAAAUUCGUAGAUAUCGGGAGGAACAUCAGUGGCGAAGGCGGCCACCUGGACAUUUACUGACGCUGAGACGCGAAAGCGUGGGGAGCAAACAGG
rnacentral:rRNA from 1 species